UGCGUAGGCGGUCGGAUAAGUUUGAUGUGAAAUCUCCGGGCUUAACCCGGAAACUGCAUUGAAUACUAUUCGGCUUGAGGUCUGGAGGGGGGACGUGGAAUUCUCGGUGUAGCAGUGAAAUGCGUAGAUAUCGAGAGGAACACCAGUGGCGAAGGCGAGUCCCUGGACAGGUCCUGACGCUGAGGCACGAAAGCUAGGGGAGCAAACGG
rnacentral:rRNA from 1 species